rnacentral:snRNA from 1 species
GAACGUGAGGAUGAUCUGCCUGAGAUUCCUUUCAGCCGCUGAUCCUGAAUAUUGAUUAUAGCUAUCUGGCUGGAGAGGUGGGUGUCCCCUUCCUUCCUCACCUCUCCAUAUGCAUCUCUCCCAAAGCAGCACACUCAUUGAAACCUUCCUAAAAGAGGACGGUUCUUUGGUUAAGAGAAUGUGAAUAUUCACAUUCCCUCCUGGAACCUCCAAAUAAGCUCCCUUGUUUGGUCUAGAUCUCCUAGAGCUGAUAUUCUAGUAGGGAGACAAAUAGACAAACCAAUCACUCCAAUGCACGGUGGAAAGU